CAGCAAUCAGACGGGCAGGUUCAAUUUGCCGUUUGUGCAGUGUUUGUCCCCCCAGCGCAUUGAAAUCAAAACUAAAUUCUAAAUCGGCAAAAAUUCGUGUCUAAUCAUUUUAUAAAAGAGAAAUAAACCCUAUUUGCUACCCUUCCUCGUACACACCAAACCAUAAAGCAAAAUUACAAGAAAAUUACAAGCAAAAUAACGCUCGUGUUUCAAAAGUGUUCAAAUUAUACAAUUGUGUGAUCGAACGACCACCACCAUUUCCCCCCAGUGACCAAAACAUCAAGUGCUUCGAAAGAAAACGGUGAAUGCAAUUGUGACUACCGAUCACAGUCAAUAUAACAGAAGGAAAGGAGCCAAUACAGUGCCAGCGAGUGAAGCUGAAGGAAAGAAGCAACAGAAAUACAAACAGAAUCAAUUGAAAUUGCAGCUGGAGCAGAAGGAAGAAACUGCAGCAGGAGCAGCAACAAAAAAACCAGCUUCAAAUAAAAUAAAAAGAAAUCAGCAACUAAACACAGAAACGAGCAACAUCUGAAACUUCAAAAAAACAGCA